AUUACUGACAGGUGUAGCACGCGUUGCUUUUUGUAGUCGCUGAAAAAUGACGCAACCGGAGCGUAUAAAAGAGCCCGUCCCCCGCAUGACGUUCUCUUGAGUCGUUGCUAUCGCUUGACGAGAACCAUCUUCUCAUCAUGAGAGCGAAGGUAAGUACAUUUUUCUUAUAUAAGUGUAAUCGAGUGUCUCAUUAUCUGGCUAGUCUUGCUAGCAUCUUCAGGGAUAAUAUAGUGUAAAUUACGCUACUGUUUGUUGUUUAACUGAAUAUUUUACUGUAAGCUUACUUUUAACCAUGUAGAAUGGUCACUUAACUGAGAGGUUUAGUGUGGUAUUUUGUAGUGUUAUAUAACGUACUCGGGCCUACUGUGCUAGCCUGCUAACACACUGUCGCAGAGGAUAUUGUUACCAGAUUGAACUUGCAGUCACUGCAUAUUGUUUUUUGCCCUUUUUAUUGUUUGCUUAUUUACGUUGGUAAAGUGGUUUAUAAACGUUGAUCUUAUCGCCUUUUUGUUUCUUAAAUAUUCCGCGCGAGCGGCCAUGCUGCAUGGUGAAAAUGCAGCCGAUAGCGCCAGUUGCGAAUGCGCAUGUGUGGGUUUAAUAAAUUACAAUGGUUUUUAACUGCCUAAUCCCAGUUUAUUAAUGUUUUUACCUUUCUUGCAGUGGCGAAAGAAGCGCAUGCGCAGGCUGAAGCGUAAAAGGAGAAAGAUGAGGCAGAGGUCAAAGUAAACUGGACCCUGUUUGCUGAAGCUGAGAGUGCUCCUCCACUUCAAUCUCCUCAGCAAGAGUCUGCUGGAAGCCCAACUGAAGCUCCACUCAUCCACCAUCUGUGAGGCCUGCUUUCUUCUGAACGAGGAUUUGGUUUUCCAUCACCUGGUUCUGCAGAAGCAUCCUGGUCUUGAUGACCAUGUGAACUGUUUUGGACAUUCCUCAGACCUGUCAGCUCAGCGUGCUUUUGUUCAUGUCUUCAAUAAAUCUUUUGGUUUAAAGAAUCCUUUUGCCUAAUGUUUUCUUUUGAAUGAAGUUAUUGGGUUUUAUUCGGGCUGUAUAAAAUUAUAAGAUCAAACUUGGGUAUUGCAGGAGCCAGUAGUGUUGGAAGGCACCAUACAUCUAGAAGGCUUUAAUUCCUGCCUUAGUGUAUUUAACUUGUGCUUGUCGCUUUUCCCUUGUGCUAGAACUUCUUAACCUAGCCUAAAUCAGCUUUUAAGUCUCUUAUUGCGUUACUUCUAGUCUAUGGGCUUUUAUAGCAUGCUAUAAUAAACUUCGCC
ensembl:lncRNA